rnacentral:lncRNA from 1 species
GCGAUAGGCUGAAAGAGGAAUCUCCAGGCCUAGGUGAUGGGCCAGCCGUGGUGAUCCUCACCCGUUUGCCUGGGCACCGUUUGGGAAACGUCCCCCUGCUCACCACGGAGAUGAAAGACCAGGUCCCUGGAGGGGCUUCGCGGAAGGAUUUUUCUCCCCAGUAAAGCGGCAGACAAGCCAAGGGUCCGCCGCCCUACGCGCCGUCUGCCUUUGAGCCGCCGCCAGCUCACAUCCUUGAGCAGAAACGUUGCAGGGAGGCAGAAAGCGCCGAGUCUCAUGGAUCGUGCUGAGCGUUGCAUCCACCCAGGACUGCUUACCUUCAGACUUCUGCUCCGGUGGCAGAGCAGCAAACCCCUAUUGUGUAAGCCUUUGUAGAUGGCUGGUGCCACUUGCUGCUGAAAGUGACAGAUAAUCUUUCUAGGAAUAUAACCCCUAAAGCCCUUUAUGGUAACAGAUGCACUUAGAGAAUGUAGUUUUCUUUCUUUUUCUUACUUAAAAAAAAAAAAAAAAAAAAGCUGAAGUCUGCCUCAGGCAAAAAGACAAACUGAAAACAUAUGUAUGCAUAAUUGAAGUGCAAUCAAUAUUCAUUAGAAAAUGAACGAAUGUUCUUCAGGUUACUUUAAUAGUUUUCUCGGGGAAUCUGUUUUUGGAUACGUAUGUCAGCUACAAUAUUUGGCACUUCCAGGAGCUCUGUGUUGAUGUCCUUCCUAGAAGUUGCACUUCUGCGCAUUUUUCUGCGCCUUUGGGGUCUCAGAUGUUCCUGGAAGGAAUCACUUUUCACUCCCCUGGCUUUUCCCUCGAACAGGUAACUUGUAACUUGCUGUUGCCUAUAGAUAUCGAGCAUUUGUCCAAAAAUAUGUUCCUACAAUACCUUCCUGUCUCAGCCAUUCCAUUCACAAGACAGUUUAAACAUUUCUCCAUGCUAUUCCACAGAUCAUUCAUAGAGGAACCAUCUGAACCAUGCAACAAAGUCUAGAAACUUUUAUGACUUUUAACUUCCACGACAAGUUAUCAUGUACUUGGUACCCUCAGCCAGGUACAUGUUAAGCUCAGGUUUCAUGUAUGUUAGCGUGGAGCCAUAUUUCCUUGUGGAUAAACCUAUAGAUUUAUCCCCACCCCCACUUCCCUUCCCAGAAGUAACUGUUGCCUUGACAACAGGGUAAGGACAGCAGUGAUGACGGCUGUGAUAACGAUUAUGAUAAUGAUGGCAGGAGAAACUGUAUGCUGGCCAUUAUCUAAGCACUUUACAUGCAUUAGCUCCUUUAACGCCCAAGGAGGCAUGUGACAGAAAUGCUAUUUUUAUCCCCGUGUUAGAGAUGAGGGCUGAGGAAAGACUGGUGAGGUGCCUUGCCCAAGGCCACACGUCUGGUCCCCAGAGAAGCCAGGCUUCCUACCCAGGCAACCCAGGGGUCCCAUACACUGUCGCUGCCUGAUAGGUAGCAGUGGUGGUGAUACACACUUCCUCUAGGUACAUGCGCAUCCAUAAUAAAGACGCAGUAGACUUAUUUGCAUAUUUUAAAAAGUGUAUGGUUUCAGAACAUUUGUUGUUUUUCCCUGUUAUGAAUCGUGUCGCAGUAAACGUCUCGCCCUACACAACAGCUCACAGCAACGCCGGUUCCUUAACCCACUGAGCAAGCCAGGGACUGAACCCGCAACCUCAUGGUUCCUAGUCGGAUUCGUUAACCACUGCGCCAUGACGGGAACUCUUGCUUGCCUGAUUUUUAGGGAAUUCUGUUAUAUUCCUCUUCUAUAAAACUAGUUGUUUGGGCUGUAAACACCUUAGAGUGGCUACUGACUUUUUUUUUUUCCUUUUUUCUUGUUUGACUUUCUUUUCAUUGUUGUCUUUUUUUGUCUUUUCGUCUUUUCUAAGGCCACCUGCGACAUAUGGAGAUUCCUAGGCUAGGGGUCUAAUCAGAGCUGUAGCCACUGCAGCCACAGCAACUCGGGAUCCAAGCCUUGUCUGUGACCUACACCACAGCUGACAGCAAUGCCGGAUCCUGUACCCACUGAGCGAGGCCAGGGAUCAAACCCGAAACCUCAUGGUUCAUAGUUGGGUUCGUUCCCACUGAGCCAUGACGGGCACUCUCUCUUUUCAUCGUUGCCUUGAUACGCAGAAGUCCUUAGUUUGAUAUAGUUUUAUUCUCAAUAUGAUUUAUGCUUUUGGCCCCUUAAGGAGGAAUGACAGUGCUCAGAUGUCAGCAAGAUGGCCUCGCACGGUUUAUUUUGUCUUUUUUUUUUUUUCUUUUUAGGGUCACAUCUGUGGCAUAUGGAAGUUCCCGGGUUUGAAGGUUGAAUUGGAGCUGCAGCCACAGGCCUACACCACAGCCAUGGCAGCACCGGAUCUGAGCUGCAUCUGCAACCUACGCUGCAGCUUGUGGCAGUGCCAGAUCCUAACCUACUGAGCAAGGCCAGGGAUCAAGCUUGCCUUCUCAGGGACACUGUGUCAGGCUCUUCAGCCCCUGAGCCAUAACGGGAACUCCUUCGUUUUCAAGUUUUGCUUUCAUUUAGAUGAUUUGGGGGUAUGACAGGACGUCGAUACCCAGUCUUACCCUCUUUCAUCCCUGGUUUCCUGGAGAGUAUCUUUUCCGUUACAGCCAGGAUGCAGCCUCAUUCAUUGAUUAUGCUGAUCCUUUGCCCAGCGAUCUGACAGGCCGUCUCUGCGUAUUUCAGAUUUCCUUUUCUAAGUGCUUCUAUUUCGGGUCCCUGCUCCCUGUGACAACAUCACAUUGUUCAAAUUACUACCAUCCCUGUCUAAUCCCCUUCCUUUUUCUUUAGCAUAGUUUUGUCAAGUCCUUUGAAAAACUGUACAGGAAUUUUUUAUUGAAAUUGUAUUGAAUUUAUAGGUAAAUUUGGGGAAAAUUGCAGUCUUUAAAAUAUUGAACUCUCCCGUCCAUGAAUAUAGUAAAUCCUGUAUUUCUUCCCCACUUCCAUCAGCUUUUGUUGCUUUCUCCAUAAAAAUCUGACACACCAUUUGUUAAAUUUAUUUCUUGACACCUUAAAAGCUUUUAUUGUCAUGGUUAAUAAUGUCCUUUAACAAUAACUAUUGAUUUUUGUGUAUUGGUUUCUAGCAAAUUGUGAGCUUUCUUAUUAGCACUCAUAUUUAUUUGUAAUUUCUCCUGGAUAUUCUAUGCAAGCAUAUAUUCUUUGUACUAAUUACGU